AAUUAAGGUGGAAGGCUACAUCGUCACAAACAUGUCUGACUUCCGUUCGAAACGCCAUUGUGUUCCGGAUUGAUAACAUUAUGCCGUGGUACAAAAUAGCUAUACACCGUUUAAUUGAACUCUUCUAACUAAGGAGACGAGAUAGGACUGAAAUCACCAAAACGCUUAGAAAAUAUGUCAAUUUUCUUCCUGUUUAAAGCUUUUAACUAACAUUGAUUAUCAGCUGUUUUGUACGGAAAACGUGGACUCUAAAUAAUAUACCGUUUCCCUGCUCUGCUGCUAUUGGCAAUACAUUUUUGUCAUGUCAUCUGCAACAGACGAUCAUAAAUAUGUGGAGGAUUAUCGAUAUAGAUACAGCUAGGUAGCAAUAGCAGUGGAAGCCCGGAUUUGCAAGCAAAAUGAGGGAAAGACAGGAUUCUGAAAAGGAGCAUGUUUUUCAUUUCCACACAUGCAUGUGUAUCACUAUGGACAUCUAAUGUUUUUGUGGGAUUUUGUUCAGCAGUUUGCCUUAACAGAAUUUUUUCAUAUUUUAGUUUCAUAUUUAUGUGGAUUCCAAUAAAAAUCAUACAAACUUCAUUCAUGAUUUUUUUGUUUUUCAUUUCUAAACUUAAUAACAUUUCACUUUCAUAAGAAUUUUAAAACAGAAAUGUUUAAAAAUUUGAUAAAUAAGGGGUUAUCUGGAACCAGACUGAUAUUUUAAAAAUUAUCUAGAAAAUAGUGUAUUGUAUUUUGAGGUAUAUUAUUGUUGAAUACUGUGCCUAGUAUUGGUAACAAAUGCAUGCAACAAAAAUCUCCUACACUUAUUUGGUGUAGAGAUCCAC